rnacentral:rRNA from 1 species
CGAAGCAUUUUAAAGGAAGUUUUCGGAUGGAAUUUGAAAUGACUGAGCGGCGGACGGGUGAGUAACGCGUGGGUAACCUGCCUCAUACAGGGGGAUAACAGUUGGAAACGGCUGCUAAUACCGCAUAAGCGCACAGUACCGCAUGGUACCGUGUGAAAAACUCCGGUGGUAUGAGAUGGACCCGCGUCUGAUUAGCUAGUUGGUGGGGUAACGGCCUACCAAGGCGACGAUCAGUAGCCGACCUGAGAGGAAGGUCCCCACAUUGGUACUGAGACACGGACCAAACUCC